rnacentral:lncRNA from 10 species
CCGCUCCUCUCACCAGCGCUUCCAUCAGGCUCCAAUUCCUCCCUCUUCCCAAGAGCCUCAGAUUGAAACCUUGCAAGGAAGACACCCAUUCUCAAAGUCACAGGCUUGGUAAUCUGAGCGGCAAAGGACUGUCAGCUGGUCGCGUUUCCCAUUGGUCACCGUUUCCGGAAGCCCGCCCCCACGUUUCCGGGAGCCCGGCGGACGCUGGGUCUGCAGAUGCCAUCCAGGCGCACGGCGGGUAUAGUGGUUCCGCAACCUUGGGAUGUUCGGCUGAGCGCCUGCCUAACAUGGGAGCGCCUGCCUAACCCUCCUGACUGGAGGGUCAGCGGCGGGGAGUCCUGGCCUUCAAUCGGCCAUCGCCACGGCAGAAACUGGGGCCCGGGCUGCGUCCAGGCCCUUCCCCGUCCGUCCACAGGUCUCAUGGGCGCCCGGACUGGGGCUGAUGUAGUUUCCCGACCUCUGACACAUAGGAUCUGGAGAUUAAAGCUGCUCUGCUAAUAAUUAGGUUCCCACCUCUCAAGAUCAUUAGGAGCUUCUUUUCCAAUUCCUCUGUUUUGCAUGCAUUGGAAGGCCCCUGGAUCCUCCUGGAAUCCCUGAUCCCUGUUGCUCCCUGGCGGAGUUUUCUAGUCCCUCUUACUUGAAGCAUGUCUUUCAGAGCCCGGCACCACCCAAGUUGGGUAUCUGCUACACCUCUAUGGUAUUUUUUUCACCUCAUAUCAUACCUUCCUCCCUCACUGGACUUCAGUGUGGGACCUGCAGGUCUCAGGCCUUCUGGGAAGUCCCAGCUUUUCUUGAAUGUUCUCUCUCUCUGGCCAGCUCAGGCUGGAGCAGUGGGUGUUGGUGCCAUCCUGUGGCUAUAGGUGAUAAGCCGGCUGUUCUUCACUGACCUGGUCUUACCUUGAACCCUGGAGUUCUCACAUGCAUGGAUUUAAAUGCUGUGUCUUUCUAAGGGCACAUUAUGGCCAUUUUCCUUAUCUCCCUCCCAAGGGGCUGUUUCCUGUAUUUAUUGACUCCCUGUUUAAAAAAAAUAUAUGUAUAUAUAGACAAAUUGGAUUGUACCCCAUAAACUGCAUGUUUUAAAAAUACUUCAAAGAAUAGUUUUUCAUUUUUUUCUUGCUGGUUUUUAUGUAUCUUCUAAAUUGUAUAUAUUUAUGGGGUAUAAAAUGAUGUUGUGAUUUUUCAAUACAGUGUGGAAUGAGAAUCAAAUUAACCUAUCCGUUACCUCAAGUACUUGACUUUUUUUGUGAUGAGAAGGCUGUUUAUCACUUUCACUCACCAG